AGUGAACGCUGGCGGUAGGCCUAACACAUGCAAGUCGAACGGCAGCACAGUAAGAGCUUGCUCUUACGGGUGGCGAGUGGCGGACGGGUGAGGAAUACAUCGGAAUCUACUUUUUCGUGGGGGAUAACGUAGGGAAACUUACGCUAAUACCGCAUACGACCUACGGGUGAAAGCAGGGGAUCUUCGGACCUUGCGCGAUUGAAUGAGCCGAUGUCGGAUUAGCUAGUUGGCGGGGUAAAGGCCCACCAAGGCGACGAUCCGUAGCUGGUCUGAGAGGAUGAACCGCCCCCACUGAAAAGAGACACCGGCCAGACUCCCAAGGGGGGGAGGCAGUGGGAAAAUUUGGAAAAGGGGCGAAACCCUAACCCGGCACACCCGGGGGGGGAAGAAGGCCCUCGGGUUUUAAAACCCCUUUUUUUGGAAAAAAAAGCAGCAAGGUUAAUCCCCCGCUGUUUUGACGGACCCAAAAAAAAAGGCCCCGCUAACUUUGGG
rnacentral:rRNA from 1 species